UUAGACGGUACAUUAUAUGUCUACCGUGGUUGUAACGAGUACAGAGAAUCAGGGUUUGGUUCUGGAGAGGCCGCCUGAGAAACGGCGACCACUUCCAAGGAAGGCAGCAGGCGCGCAAAUUACCCACUCUCAAAACGAGGAGGUAGUGAAGAGAAAUAACGAUGUUAGUCUUUUUUAGGCUGACAAUCGGAAUGGAAAAACUCUAAAAAGGUUAUUGAUUAACAAUUGGAGGGCAAGUCUGGUGCCAGCAGCCGCGGUAAUUCCAGCUCCAAUAAGGAAAACUAAAGUUGCUGUGUUUAAAAAGCUCGUAGUUGAAUUUCGGGUAUUUGUUGCUAGUUGGUCUUUUCGGCCAUAUUGGUUAACAGAUCCUCACUUGCUGGACGGCUGGCGAUGAUCUUUAUCGGUUGUCGUCAGUUGCCAGAACGUUUACUUUGAGAAAAUUAGAGUGCUAAAAGCAGGCUCACGCCUAUAUAUAUUGCAUGGA
rnacentral:rRNA from 1 species